rnacentral:rRNA from 1 species
ACGGGGGGAGGAAAGUAGGGGAUCGCAAGACCUUGCGCUGAUUGAGCGGCCGAUAUCAGAUUAGCUUGUUGGUGAGGUAAAAGCUCACCAAGGCGACGAUCUGUAGCGGGUCUGAGAGGAUGAUCCGCCACACUGGAACUGAGACACGGUCCAGACUCCUACGGGAGGCAGCAGUGGGGAAUUUUGGACAAUGGGGGCAACCCUGAUCCAGCCAUGCCGCGUGAGUGAAGAAGGCCUUCGGGUUGUAAAGCUCUUUCAGCCGGGAAGAAAACGCAUGGGUUAAUACCCUGUGUGGAUGACGGUACCGGAAUAAGAAGCACCGGCUAACUACGUGCCAGCAGCCGCGGUAAUACGUAGGGUGCGAGCGUUAAUCGGAAUUACUGGGCGUAAAGCGUGCGCAGGCGGUUUUGUAAGACAGGCGUGAAAUCCCCGGGCUUAACCUGGGAACUGCGUUUGAAACUACAAAGCUAG